UACGUAGGGUGCAAGCGUGUCCGGAAUUAUUGGGCGUAAAGAGCUCGUAGGCGGUCUGUCGCGUCUGCUGUGAAAACUCGGGGCUUAACCCCGGGCCUGCAGUGGGUACGGGCAGACUAGAGUGCGGUAGGGGAGACUGGAAUUCCUGGUGUAGCGGUGAAAUGCGCAGAUAUCAGGAGGAACACCGGUGGCGAAGGCGGGUCUCUGGGCCGAUAUUGACGCUGAGGAGCGAAAGCGUGGGGAGCAAACAGG
rnacentral:rRNA from 1 species